CCUACGGGAGACAGCAGUGAGGAAUAUUGGUCAAUGGCCGGAAGGCUGAACCAGCCAUGCCGCGUGAAGGUCAGUGCCCUAUGGGCGCUAAACUUCUUUUGUGCGGGAGCAAUAAUGGUCACGUGUGGCCAGACGAGAGUACCGUACGAAUAAGCAUCGGCUAACUCCGUGCCAGCAGCCGCGGUAAUACGGGGGAUGCAAGCGUUAUCCCGAAUUACUGGGGGUAAAGGGAGCGUAGGCGGGGAUGCAAGUUGGGGGUAAAAACUACGGGCUCAACCGGUAGUCGCACUCAAAACUGCAGCUCUUGAGUGAAGGAGAGGCAUGCGGAAUGCGUAGUGUAGCGGUGAAAUGCGUAGAUA
rnacentral:rRNA from 1 species